rnacentral:rRNA from 1 species
GAUUAAUAAUAUUAAGUCAAAUCUGCUCAAUGAAUUAUUUAAAUAGCUGCAGUAUAAAUAACUGUACAAAGGUAGCAUAAUAAUUAGUUUUUUAAUUAAAAACUUGAAUGAAAGAUUUAAUGAAAUAUUAACUGUCUCAAAUUUAUUAAAUAAAUUUUUUUUUUAAGUUAAAAAACUUAAAUAUUUAAAAAAGACGAGAAGACCCUAAAGAAUUUUCAUAAUUUUUUAAUUUUAUUUAAUUUUAAUUUUUAUAUUAUUUAAAAAUUAUUUUAAUUGGGGAAAUUUUAAAAUUUAACUAAUUUUUAAUUAAAAAAACAUUUAUUUUUGAAUAAAUAAAAUUUUUUUAAAAAAAAAAAUUAAAUUACCUUAGGGAUAACAGCAUAAUUUUUUUAAAAAGUUCAAAUUUUUAAAAAAGUUUAU